rnacentral:rRNA from 1 species
ACGAACGCUGGCGGCGUGCCUAAUACAUGCAAGUAGAACGCUGAAGAGAGGAGCUUGCUCUUCUUGGAUGAGUUGCGAACGGGUGAGUAACGCGUAGGUAACCUGCCUUGUAGCGGGGGAUAACUAUUGGAAACGAUAGCUAAUACCGCAUAACAAUGGAUGACACAUGUCAUUUAUUUGAAAGGGGCAAUUGCUCCACUACAAGAUGGACCUGCGUUGUAUUAGCUAGUAGGUGAGGUAAUGGCUCACCUAGGCGACGAUACAUAGCCGACCUGAGAGGGUGAUCGGCCACACUGGGACUGAGACACGGCCCAGACUCCUACGGGAGGCAGCAGUAGGGAAUCUUCGGCAAUGGGGGCAACCCUGACCGAGCAACGCCGCGUGAGUGAAGAAGGUUUUCGGAUCGUAAAGCUCUGUUGUAAGUCAAGAACGGGUGUGAGAGUGGAAAGUUCACACUGUGACGGUAGCUUACCAGAAAGGGACGGCUAACUACGUGCCAGCAGCCGCGGUAAUACGUAGGUCCCGAGCGUUGUCCGGAUUUAUUGGGCGUAAAGCGAGCGCAGGCGGUUUGAUAAGUCUGAAGUUAAAGGCUGUGGCUCAACCAUAGUUCGCUUUGGAAACUGUCAAACUUGAGUGCAGAAGGGGAGAGUGGAAUUCCAUGUGUAGCGGUGAAAUGCGUAGAUAUAUGGAGGAACACCGGUGGCGAAAGCGGCUCUCUGGUCUGUAACUGACGCUGAGGCUCGAAAGCGUGGGGAGCGAACAGGAUUAGAUACCCUGGUAGUCCACGCCGUAAACGAUGAGUGCUAGGUGUUGGAUCCUUUCCGGGAUUCAGUGCCGCAGCUAACGCAUUAAGCACUCCGCCUGGGGAGUACGACCGCAAGGUUGAAACUCAAAGGAAUUGACGGGGGCCCGCACAAGCGGUGGAGCAUGUGGUUUAAUUCGAAGCAACGCGAAGAACCUUACCAGGUCUUGACAUCCCGAUGCUAUUUCUAGAGAUAGAAAGUUACUUCGGUACAUCGGUGACAGGUGGUGCAUGGUUGUCGUCAGCUCGUGUCGUGAGAUGUUGGGUUAAGUCCCGCAACGAGCGCAACCCCUAUUGUUAGUUGCCAUCAUUCAGUUGGGCACUCUAGCGAGACUGCCGGUAAUAAACCGGAGGAAGGUGGGGAUGACGUCAAAUCAUCAUGCCCCUUAUGACCUGGGCUACACACGUGCUACAAUGGUUGGUACAACGAGUUGCGAGUCGGUGACGGCGAGCUAAUCUCUUAAAGCCAAUCUCAGUUCGGAUUGUAGGCUGCAACUCGCCUACAUGAAGUCGGAAUCGCUAGUAAUCGCGGAUCAGCACGCCGCGGUGAAUACGUUCCCGGGCCUUGUACACACCGCCCGUCACACCACGAGGGUUUGUAACACCCGAAGUCGGUGAGGUAACCUUUUGGAGCCAGCCGCCUAAGGUGGGACAGAUGAUUGGGGUG